rnacentral:rRNA from 1 species
GAACGCUGGCGGCGUGCUUCCCACAUGCAAGUCGAACGGACAGGCCCUGCUUUUGUGGGGUGCUCGAGUGGCGAACGGGUGAGUAACACGUGAGUAACCUGCCCUUGACUUUGGGAUAACUUCAGGAAACUGGGGCUAAUACCGGAUAGGAGCUCCUGCUGCAUGGUGGGGGUUGGAAAGUUUCGGCGGUUGGGGAUGGACUCGCGGCUUAUCAGCUUGUUGGUGGGGUAGUGGCUUACCAAGGCUUUGACGGGUAGCCGGCCUGAGAGGGUGACCGGCCACAUUGGGACUGAGAUACGGCCCAGACUCCUACGGGAGGCAGCAGUGGGGAAUAUUGCACAAUGGGCGGAAGCCUGAUGCAGCAACGCCGCGUGCGGGAUGACGGCCUUCGGGUUGUAAACCGCUUUCGCCUGUGACGAAGCGUGAGUGACGGUAAUGGGUAAAGAAGCACCGGCUAACUACGUG